rnacentral:rRNA from 1 species
CAUCCGCCCGGGUACUACGAGCACAGCUUAAAACCCAAAGGACUUGGCGGUGUCUCAGACCCACCUAGAGGAGCCUGUUCUAAAACCGAUACCCCCCGUUAAACCUCACCACUCCUUGUUCUCCCCGCCUAUAUACCGCC